UUCCAUUAUUUCUUCUCCUUUAUUCAUUCCCUAAUUACUCUGUUUCUACAUCUAACCCUAACUCCUCUCCUACUUGGCAGAUGUAACACUCCCCUUCCCUUAAUCUAAUCCUUGUCCUCAAGGAUCAAAAGAAGGGAACUGACUCUUGAGAACCCCGUAAUCCUCCCAUGUAGCGUGCUCCUCGAAAAGGUUCACCCAUUUCACCAGCACUUCGAUCACAGUCUUAUUAUCCUUUUUUACCAUCCUCCUCUCCAGGAUCUUCUCAGGCUCUGUCAGUAACUCAUCAUCUUCUCCUAUAGUCGGCACGUGCGGUAA
rnacentral:lncRNA from 1 species